GACGAACGCUGGCGGCGUGCCUAAUACAUGCAAGUCGAACGCAGUGGGGACGGGUGGGUAACCCGUGGGUAACCUCCCAUCAGAGGGGAUAACACUUCGAAACAGGUACUAAACCGAUACUGAUGGAUGGACCCGGGGUGCAUUAGCUAGUUGGUGAGGUAAUGGCUCACCAAGGCCACGAUGCAUAGCCGGUCUGAGAGGGUGAGCGGCCACACUGGGACUGAGACACGGUCCAGACUCCUACGGGAGGCAGCAGUGGGGAAUAUUCGGCAAUGGACGAAAGUCUGACCGAGCAACGCCGCGUGAGUGAAGAAGGUGUUCGGGUCGUAAAACUCUGUCGUUAGAGAAGCGGUAUCUAACCAGAAAGCCACGGCUAACUACGUGCCAGCAGCCGCGGUAAUAC
rnacentral:rRNA from 1 species